GUGUCAGCAGCCGCGGUAAGACGAACCGUGCGAACGUUGUUCGGAUUCACUGGGCUUAAAGGGCGCGUAGGCGGAUUCGCAAGUCCGGGGUGAAAUCUUUCGGCUCAACCGGAAAAGUGCCUUGGAUACUGCGAGUCUCGAGGGAGGUAGGGGCCGCGGGAACUUCCGGUGGAGCGGUGAAAUGCGUUGAUAUCGGAAGGAACGCCGGUGGCGAAAGCGCGCGGCUGGAUCUCCUCUGACGCUGAGGCGCGAAAGCUAGGGGAGCAAACGGGAUUAGAUACCCCGGUAGUCCUAGCCCUAAACGAUGGGCACUAGAUAGUGGACUUUCAUGGGUUCACUGUCGAAGCAAAAGUGCUAAGUGCCCCGCCUGGGGAGUAUGGUCGCAAGGCUGAA
rnacentral:rRNA from 1 species